AUAAAUGAAAUAACAAGUCUAGAUGACAGCACAUCUGUUUACAACAUACUCAACUAGAUAUUUUAAGCUCACUGUUGAGACCUACUGCUCAGAAAAAAAAAAAAAAAGAAGUUCCUUUCAGAAUGUUCCUGCUCAUUGACAAUGCACCUGGCCGCCCAAGAGCUGUGAUGGAGACGGACGAGGAGAUUAAUGUGACUUUCAGGUCUGCCAACCUAGCAUCCACUCUGCAGCCCAUGAAACUACUACUGCCCACAAAGUUCAAAUUUCAGGUCUUAUUUAAGAAACACUUCAUAAGGCUAUCAAAGCCACAGAUAGGGGUUCCAGAUUACCUCUCCAGAUGCCAUUAAGAACACUCAUGAUUCAGGAGAAGAGGUCAAAAUAUCAGCCUUAACAGGAGUUUGCAAGAAGUUGAUUUCAGCCCUCACGGGUGACUCUGAGGGGUUCAAGACUUUAUAGAGGAAGUCACUGCAGAUGUGGGGGAAACAGCAAGAGAACUGGAAUUGUCAGUAGAGCCUGGAGAUGAGGCCGAAUGGCUGCAAACUCCAGAUGAAACUUGAAAGGAUUUGGAGCUGCUUCUCAUGGAUGAGCAAAGACAGUGAUUUCCCGAGACGGAACCUACUGCUAGUGAAGAGGCUGUGAAGACUUUUGAAAUGACAACAAAGGCCUUAGAUUAUUCCAUAAACAUAGCUGAUGAAGCAGCUGCAGGAUAUGAGAAGAUCGACUGCAGUUUGAAGUCCUCCUGUGGGAAAGUGCUGUCAGGCUGUGCUGCCCGCUACAGAGCAGUUGUUCGUGAAAAGAAGCGUCGGUCAAUGUGCCAGACAUCCCUGUGGCCACCUACCCUUCAGCAGCCACCAGCCGUCAACAUUCAGGCAAGACCUUCCAGCAGCAAGAAGAUUGAUGUGCUGAAGGCUCAGGUGAUGGUUAGCAUUUUUUAGCAAUGAAGUAUUUAAGCCAUGUGCUCUUUUAAACAAUAUAAUGCUACACCUAACAGACUAUAGUGUAAGGUAAACAUAACUUUUAUAUGCACCGGGAAACCGAAAAAAAAAAUUUCACGUGGCUUGCUUUAUUGCAGCAUUCACUGGACUGUGAGGGUCUGGAACAGAACCCACAACAUCUCUGAGAUCUGCCUUGAUGUCCUGCAGAAUGUUCACCAUAAUAGCUCUGUUAACGUGCUUCACCAUAUGUGUAGUUACAAAAAAUUGUUUUUUUCUUGUGAUGAGGAUAAAUCGAGUCCUCUUGGGAAAGGUGGAUCGUUGAAGAAAACCAGAAGCCAGGGUCAUAGGACUUGGCAUAGGCAGCACCUUCUAGUGAAGGAAGAUUCCUGCCAACAGGAAUCCGCCCCCACCACUUCCUCCUCUAGCUGUGGCCCCCUAGAUAGAAUGCCCUCCCCCCACUUUGACUUCAAGUGGCUCCUUCAAAACAUAUAUUUACAUGUAACAAUAUUCUGAAUGUAAAUAAACUCUCUAAAUGCAAAUUAAAACUGUGAUGAGGUACCACCUCACACUGGUCAGAAUGGCCGUCAUCAAUAAGGCUACAAGUAACAAAUGCUGGAGAGGGUGUGGAGAAAAGGGAACCUUCCUGCACUGCUGGGAAUAUAAAUUGGUACAACCACUAUGGGGAACACUAUGGUAACACCUCAGAAAACUAAAACUAGAACUAACACAUGAACCGGCAAUCUGACUCUGGGGCAUAUAUCCAGACAAACCUGUAAUGCAAAAAGAUACACACCCCUGUAUGUUCAUAGCAGCACUAUUCACAAUAGCCAAGACAUAGAAGCAACCUAAAUGUUCAUCAACAUUUAGGAAUGGAUAAAGAAGAUGUGGUACAUAUACACAAUGGAAUGCUACUCAGCCAUAAAAAAGAACAAACUAAUGCCAUUUGCAGCAACACAGAUGCAACUAGAGAUUCUCAUCCUAAGUGGAAUAAGUCAGAAAGACAAAUACCAUAUGGUAUCACUUAUAUGUGGAAUCUAAUAUAUGGCACAAAUGAACCUAUCUAUAGAAUAGAAACAGAUUCAAAGACAUAGGGAACAGACUUGUGGUUCGCAAGGGGAAGGAGGAGGGAGUGGGAUGGCCUGGGAGUUUGGGGUUAGUAGACGCACACUAUUAAAUUCAGAAUGGAUAAGCAGUGAGGUUCUGCUGUACAGCACAGGGAACUCUAUCCAGUCUCUUGGUUUAGAAUAUGAUGGGGGAGAUCAAAAGACUGUAUUUGUGUUUGUGUGUGAGAGAGAGAGACUGGGUCACUUUGCUGUACAGAAAUUAGCACAGCAUUGUAAAUCAACUGUACUUUAAAUAAACUCUCUAAAUGCUAGUUUACAGAAAGGGAGAAGAGUAGAAUUUAAAUCAUUUCUUACUUUGUUUAUUUGGGUUUUUUUCUCUCCUCUUCUUGGUGAGUCUGGCCAGAGGUUUGUCCAUUUUGUUUACCUUUUCAAAAAACCAGCUCUUAGUUUUAUUGAUUUUUUUCUAUUUUCGAAUCUCUGUUUUAUUAAUUUCCUCUCUGAUCUUUAUAAUUUCCUUCCUUCUGCUGAUUUUGGUCUUGUUUGUUCUUUUUCUAAUUCAUUUAGGUGGUGAGUUAAGUUGUCAAUUUGAGAUUUUUCUUAUUUUGAGGAAGGCCUGUAUUGCUGUGAAUUUCCCACUGCUUUUGCGGCAUCCCAUAGAUUUUGAAUGGUUGUGUCUUCAUUUAUCAUUUGUCUCGAGGUAUUUUUUGAUUUCCUUCUCGAUUUCCUCAUUGACCCCUUGGUUUUUUAGUAGCAUGUUGUUUAGUCUCCAUGUAGUCAGUUUUUUUCUCCUUUUUUUUCCUGUGGUUGAUUUCUAGUUUCAUGCCAUUGUGGUCAGAGAAGAUAAUUGAAAUAAUUUCUGUACCCCUCAAUUUGUUGAGGUUAGUUUUGUGGCCCAGUAUGGGGUCAGUCCUUGAGAAUGUUCCGUGUGCACUUGAGUAUGUGUGUAUGUUCUGAUUUUUUUGGAUGUGAUAUCCUGAAAAUGUCAGUUAAGUCUAACUUUUCUAUUGUGUCAGAGAAUUUAAAUCAAAAUAGUGGAAGACAAAUAUUAAGAGACCGAGACCCAAAAGCAGCGCCUCAGUUACCCCCUGAGACUGGGGGUGAACAGUGGGAGUCAACGAGAGCAUGUGGGUGGCCCCAAGGAGCUGACCCCAAGCCAGGAGCCACGCUGGCUGUGUGCUAGACGAGGUGGCCAGGACGGCCUUGCUCGCCUCCUCUGCCUUCUCCAUCCCAGUCAGGGGGGUGGGCUAAGAAUAUGAGAAUGAGUUCGGCCAGCGCAUCUUCCAUCGAAAGCAUGCAGGGGCACUUGGGCCUAUGGGGUGACCAGGGAGACCGGGGUUGCAGUGGUGGGAACAGCCCUGCCGUCCACACUCACCUCCAUGUCAGAGGAAUCCUGCAUCACGAGAACUCUGUCCUGUUAGGCCUGCACACCAUCAGAGCACAGGAGAUAUUCAGCUGUGUUCUCUCAAUAGGCUGAUAACUAAUAAGAUAGAUACAAGGGUGCUUUUUAUUUUUCUAACCAGUGCUGCAGCAUUCAGAUUCAAACUGAGUUAACCAAAGGGAGAAAGAAAAAACAAAAUCUGUACCCUUGCCAUUAUCCCCAACCAACAGCUCAUAUAAAUUUUCAGGAUUCUAUUAUGUAUAUCUUCACGUGAAAACAUUUUCCAUAGUUGUAAUGAGAGCAUACAUACAAUUUUCAAACUGAUUUUCCAUUUACCAGCAUAACCACUUUAUGCUUCAUAGUUAACAUUUGCAUGACCUCAUGACAUUCCAUCCAGUUGAGCAAACGUUCCAGAAUUCACUUAACCAGUUUCCAUAUUCUUAGCCACAUGUGCUUUUUAAAAAUAAUACUGUACAGUUUGCCACAGGCGUACUUGCAUGUCUGCUUUUUCUUUCAUUCACCCUUAGAGUCAGUUUCCAGAACCCGUUUUAUCGAGUCCAUAGCAUGAACUCUGACUCUGACUUUAUGCCAUCAACAGGGACUCCCUGUCACUCUGCCGCUUCUGGCAGGUGUCAGCUCCACGGCCAAGACCAGCACCAAGCGGCCUCCUUUCCGCAGGCUCCAGCUUUCCCAGGGCCUCUCGCUGCCCUGCUCUGUUUCCAGGUGCCCUCCCUGCUGGGAAUGACUCUUGCCUGGUCACUCGGGCCUCCAGGCCUGGGCCAUCUGCAGCGUUCCCUUCCUCGGUAUGGAUGUGUGCACUGGCCCCCAGGGUCCCCAGCAGCCCAGGCCCCGCUCCCCCUGGCUGCUCUCUCUCCCAAGGCAUUUGUCUGCACACCUCCAUGCCCACAUACAUGAGGCUCUGUCAGGCUGCAGCCCAGGGCGAUUCCACUUCUUUGAGGGACUGACUCUUUCCAAGGUCACCAGCCAUAUCCACUGCAGAAGUCAGUUACAUCUUUCAGGCCCUGUUCCUUUGAUCUCUGUGAGGCAUCGGACACCAGCCGUCUGGAAACUUUCUCUUGUCCUGGAUUCCACGUUCUUCCCACCCUUCUGAUGCUUCUCUAUGGAUGUCAGUCGUCUUGUCUCCUCUGUCGCCCCAGCCCCUGACCAAUGGUGUUCCACCAAAUGGGACAGGGGGCACGUGGGUCAAUGCAGAGGGGCCUCCCCAUGCUCUCCAUGCUCUUACGGCAGCUCUAAAGUUACAAACCCAAGUGUGCCCGCUGCCCGGGCCUGUGAUGCCCCAGUCCCUGGUUUCAGUCUCCUUUUCAUCCCCCACACAUGACCCAUUAACAAGCCCAUCUGCUUCCAGGCUUCUAACCCUCCCUGUGCUAACAGCUGCCCAGUCUGUGCCUCCAGCAAGAUUUUCCCUUUGAGUCUGACUCUGGCCAUGACCGCCUGCUGGACGCCUCUAUCUGGAUGUCCUGCAGAAUCUCAGAUUCAGCAGGUACCCAGGAGAACCUUGUCCCCCUCCCCCAUCACAGGUUUACCCAGGGUCUGUGGGUGGUGACACCUCUCUCCAGCAUGUGGUCGAGCUCAAAAGCUGUCCACUGCUUCAGAUGCCUGGCCCAUCCACCCAUCUGUGGCCAUUCUCUCCCUGGGAGCUUGUCUGUCCUGCCCUGAGGCUCUCAGACCCCUCCUCUCCUGUCCAUCCUUCUUUGCUGCCUGAGUUCACAGCCCUUGUCAGUUCCUGCCAGGAGUAUUCCAAAUACCUGCAGGUAGCCUCCUUCCUGAGCCUGUCAUUCCCCACACAUCCCGAGUGGUGACAUGGUUGGUGUAAACAGGCAGGCUUGCUGGGUUCUGCGACAGUCCACUUCUUGUUCCCUGCACAGCUUUAGGCAGAUUUUUUUUUUCCCCAAUUUUCAGGGCCAUGCCUGUGGCCUAUGGAAGCUCCCAGGGUAGGGAUUGAAUCAGAGCUGCAGCAGUGGCUUACACCACAACCACAGCAAUAUGGGAUCCAAGCCGUGUCUGUGAACUACACCACAGCUCGUGGCAAUGCUGGAUCCUUAACCCACUGAGCAAGGCCAGGGAUUGAACCUGCAUCCUCAUGGAUGCUAGUUGGAUUCAUUUCUGCUGCACCUCGUGUUCACAGCAGCACUGUUCACUGUAACCAAAAGUGCUCACGGGCCAGUCAUCCACCAACAGGCGAAUGGGUAAGCCAGACAUCAUCCAUACAUACCAGGGAGUACUACUUAGCCUUAAAAAGGAAGGAGAGGAGUUCCUGUCGUGGCGCAGUGGUUAACGAAUCCAACUAGGAACCAUGAGGUUGCAGGUUCGGUCCCUGCCCUUGCUCAGUGGGUUAACGAUCCGGCAUUGGUGUGAGCUGUGGUGUAGGUUUCAGACGCGGCUCGGAUCCCACAUUACUGUGGCUCUGGCGUAGGCCAGUGGCUACAGCUCCGAUUGGACCCCUAGCCUGGGAACCUCCAUAUGCCGCGGGAGCGGCCCAAAGAAAUAGCAAAAAGACACACACACACACACAAAAAAAAAAAAAAAAAAAAAAAAA
rnacentral:lncRNA from 1 species